AUUGAACGCUGGCGGCAUGCCUUACACAUGCAAGUCGAACGGCAGCACGGGAGCAAUCCUGGUGGCGAGUGGCGAACGGGUGAGUAAUAUAUCGGAACGUGCCCAGCAGUGGGGGAUAACUGCUCGAAAGAGCAGCUAAUACCGCAUACGACCUGAGGGUGAAAGCGGGGGAUCGCAAGACCUCGCGCUAUUGGAGCGGCCGAUAUCAGAUUAGCUAGUUGGUGGGGUAAAAGCUCACCAAGGCGACGAUCUGUAGCUGGUCUGAGAGGACGACCAGCCACACUGGGACUGAGACACGGCCCAGACUCCGACGGGAGGCAGCAGUGGGGAAUGUUGGACAAUGGGCGCAAGCCUGAUCCAGCCAUGCCGCGUGCGGGAAGAAGGCCUUCGGGUUGUAAACCGCUUUUGUCAGGGAAGAAACGGCUCCUACUAAUACUGGGGGCUAAUGACGGUACCUGAAGAAUAAGCACCGGCUAACUACGUGCCAGCCGCCGCAGUAA
rnacentral:rRNA from 1 species